AGAAGCUGUACUGCUCUCUAGUCUGGAACAAGGAGCAGAAUGCUGUGUCUCAAAAAAAGUGACGUCAAGGAAGAUGCACCCAGGAAUCUUUGAAAAUGGGAAUGUCUUGAAGCUGAUGCCAGCUUACAGUCUUUUCUGACCAGGUGGCAGUGGUGAUAAAGUCAUUACCUGUGCAUUUGCAAACAUCAAAAGCAUAAGCAUCAAAACUUGCAGAAUGGGUGUCGAUGGGUUGAAAGAAAAUCUUGGAGAUAAUAGGGGAGUGCUGUUUUAACUUCCCGGAAUGAAAUGGUUGUAGGGAAAGUAGUGAAUAAAGUAUAUUCUGCCACAUUCCUGAAGAGGAGCCACGCAUCAGCCUUUACCUCCUUCCCAAAGCAUCCUGAUUUUACUUUUGGGUAAUUCCUCCAUCAUAUGUGGAAAUAGUGUCUGCCUCUGUCCAUGAAAGUCUAAAAGGUUUUGAAAUAAGAAGUGAGAAGGAAGACAACAAUAUAGAAAAGAACAUUCUUGAACUGUUGCUGGAUAAUGCAUUUUUAGCUUCUGGACAGUAUUAUCAAAGAAAGACUUUGCUUUUGAAUGUGAAAUGACAUCCAUGGAACAUCGGCAGAGAAAGUUCAUCCCUAAGGAGGGCACUUUAAGGUUAUUUGCAAGUCAUGAGGGGUCUUGGAACAUAUAUAUGUUCUAAGUGUGAUAGGAAUAUUACUCAACGCUCACAACUUCUUAAGUAUCAG